GCCGAGAGGACACCGCUGCUUCGCGCCCCCUCUGCCCCGUCAGCCAAAGUACUCUGCUCGCAACCGAACCCACCGAAUAGUUGGACAUUCGGCGAAUGUUGGACCCGCCUGGAGCCCAGACAUUGGUAUUCGGAUCAGCCCUAGUUAUCAGUGGGUUUCCUGGGUUUUAUAUAGGUUUCGAUUUCCCGUAAUGCACGUUUGCGCGGGAUAUUGAUGGUGGGGUGAGGUGCACUCUCUGGCGGGAGGUCAAAAGCAUAGUUAUCCCUGCUUUUCCGGUUUCUGCCGGUUGUUGUUUUCGCUGCUCGCCGGUAAUGCACGCUCAAGUGUGUGGUUGGGAGAUCGUCUCAAAAUCCUUCCAACAGUUCAGGAACCAAAAGAUGGCUGCUGCCCAGAAGCAUCUGCUGCAUGUGUAUGUUGCACGAGACACCGCCCUGAAACUUACUCUACUCGAGCGACCAAAGUCAGUGGAAGAGCUGAAAGAAAUAAUGCAAGAGAGGUUCAAGCGGAGACUGGAUGGGGACUUUAGCCUGCACUAUGAGGAUCCGGACUUUGAUGGUGAUCUUUGUGUUCUUGUGAACAUCCAGGAGUUACCAGAGAAGGGCACAUUGAGAGUCAUCAGACCUAAAGCUGAGAUCCGGUGUGUUUCCCGGAAGAGGGCUGCAGCUCAUUUGCAUAGAGUAGACUGGACUCUGGCGUGCGGAGAUUAGGACUGGGUGGUCAGUAAGUUCGGUCGGGUUCUUCCCGUCCUGCAACUCCGGAGUCAGAAAGGCAGCAGAGCUCCCGUCCAAAUACUGCCACAACAUCCGCCAGCUGGACCGCCAGGAAGUAGACGGGUCCACGCUGGUCGCCCAGCUCACCUGGCAGGUGCAGGGGGGAUGACAUCAGCAAGAGGAGGCAGGGCGAGUUCCCGACGUACGAGCUGCCGCAAUGGAAGAAGAUCCGGACGGACGAGAUCUGAGCAUCCUGUUAACUCUGUUCAUCAAACUGAAGCUCGUCACGUUACCAACGGAUUCCAACCUCGACCAGCUCAAAGGACGUAGAGACGUGACAGCGACGUCGAUUCAGACGAGGAGAUCCGCAGGCUGUUGGCCAAUCAGCAAACCUCCCACGAUGCACUGCAGCAGGACGACAAUCUGGAGGUGGUCGGACUCGACUACCUGGAGUAGUGUGGACACAAAUGUACCAGCAGGUUUUAAUUUGUCACUGUGGUUCGUUUUUCACUGCAAUCUAAAGUCUCUAUGGAACCAGAACAACCAUGAAGGAGAGAGAACUCAGAAAUGUCUUCUGUGACACAGUUAGAAGGACAGAAAUGUGAUAAAAGAAAGAUUUCACAAUUUGCCCAAAAUUCCUCCAAAAAAUGCCUCAGAAUUUGUUAAAACUGACUCAGUUUAUCCAAAAUGAUUUUGAACUUGUCCAAAAUUACAUGAAAGUGGUCCAAAAUGAUUCAGAAUUUACCUAAAAUGACUUGGAACUAAACAUUUCUUCACAUUUUUCCUCACUGUGGUUCAUUUUUCUCUGCAAUAUAAAGUCCUGCAGCUCUAUGGAAACAGAAUGAAGGUGAGAGAACUCGUUGCUUUGGCUCCUCAUCUUUAAGGUGCCAUUUUGUCAGAAAAUCUCACCAAAACUAAGUUUAGAAUAAUGAUAUUUAUUCUGCAUGUCUCAUUUAGAAAUUUGCCAAACCUACACUCUUUGCUUGACCCAGAUUGUAUAAAAAACUAAUAAUUGGGAGCUGUUCGUCACCCAUGGAGCCAUCAGCUGUGAUCAAUAUGAACAAAAGUGUGCAGCGACUCAGUUAAAAUGACACAAAUCAGAAAAAAAGAUGAAAAAUGAGUCGAAUUUCUUUGACUAUGUAUUUUACAAAAAUUUUUAAAAGCUUGAAAUCAACAUGUCCAACAUUUUUCUAAGUGGAAAAAAUAAAAGCUCGACAUAAAGUUGAUUUUGAACAAUUAAUUUCCAUACUUGUCUCCUCUCUGGUCUGAUCUCUGCUGUGUAACUGUAUAACUGUAUAAACAGAUUUAUGUCUCCUCUGUGGGCUACCUGGUUGAUCCUGCCAGUAGCAUAUGCUUGUCUCAAAGUUAAAACACUUCCUGCAGUUCAGCCAAAAACUCUCAGAAUUUUCAUCUGAGCAAAGUGUAUUUUUAGUGAAUUUUAAAAUGAGACAUGGAGAAUGGAGUAAUUUUGAUGAAUAUUUCAAAUUAAAGCUCAGAUUUGUUUAAUUCUUUGCAGAUGAGUAGUUCAGGGACAGUUGGAAAACAGCUGAAAGUCUCAGAAUUUUCACCACGGGACUGAUGGUCGCAGCUGAGUCACUGAUAACUUCAUGGAUGUGACAAAGAGCUCAGAAUUUUUUGUUUGUUGCAGAAUUUGGUUAAAGUUAAACGUUUAUUUCUCACCAAUUUUUAAAAGGAAACUUGUUUAAAAAAAAAAAACAUAGAAUAAUAAGGCGAUAUUGAUGAACUAGAACAAUUUUUAGGGUUAGAUCUGGAUAAUUUUCAACAAGGAACUGAAAGUCACACAUGAUUAGUUCAAGGACCAUGGGGAAGCUAAAUAAUCUUAUUGUUUUACAUUUUCUAAGGGAAAAAUGGUGUAAAUUUGGCAUUUUAAAACAAACAUUAGCAUGCCUUUCAAACCUGCAGGUAGAUUUUGGGGUUCAGAGGGUUAAUUUAAUUAGUAGAAAUUGUGUGUAAAAAAACCAAACCAAGAAUGCAUGACGAAAACAAGGCUUUCUUCAAGUAUCACAAGAAAUCUUAUAUUCAUUAAUUAAUUAAAGAAAUAAAUGAUGAUGAAUCCCAGUAAAAGAUGUGACAGUCUUUGCAAGAACGAGUUUUUCUUUGUGAUUCCAG
ensembl:lncRNA